CCUAAACCGAAGACAUUAUUUUUUCUUGGAAACAUUUUCAGCCAAAACAAACAAACCCCAAUUGCUAAACAUGGUUAAUAGCAUUUUGUAGGGCAUGGGAGUUAAAGUUAUGGUUCUGAUUUUCUUCUUUGAAAUUGCAUUACUAACUCUUUGGAUGUUCCACAUGUUGAAUGUACCAGAGCUUCUGAUGUAUAAGAACAACCUGCAAGAGUACACAUAGAAAUUAGACUUGUCAUUUCCAGUUUACCAUACCACCAAUGAAGGAUUCCAUCACGCAACAAAGUUUAGGUCAAUUGUGCUGGUUUAUGGAACAACAUAUGCAUCUAGGCUAACAUUUUCUCAUCGAAAAGAAGCCGAGCAGGAUGUUGAAAAAUUUGCUCUUGAGUGCAUAAAAGAAAAGCUGAAAGUUGAAGACUCUUCCCACUAUUUACAAGGAUCCAAGACAUUGCAAGUCUAUUUUGCAAGAAUUUGCAUCAACAAGGACCUGGAAUUUCCAAGUAUAUGACCACUGAAGCAGAAGACAUGUGACCAGUCUGUGUCUCUAAAUUGUUUUUUCAUGGAAGUAGCAAGAAGCAGGAAAGAGCCAGAGAAACUGGCAGGACAAACUGCGAUUCAAACACUUCUUGGUUGUGAAUCUCAUUCAGGAGUUCUUCGCCAGAUAAUCAAUUCCAAAGUCAAAUUAUGUAGGGCAAAUGUCAAAGCUCCAAGCUGCGAGCAGAACAACUCGUCAGAAGUUUGGAAGGCAGGCAAUUUAUUGUUGUUGCUUGAAGCUUCAAAAACUGCUUCUUGCUUAAAACUAAUGAGUUUCUACUUGUUGGUUUUCCAGUGAAGUCUUUAAGCCACCCAUCUCUCUCAAAAUUUAGA